rnacentral:rRNA from 1 species
ACUCCUACGGGAGGCAGCAGUGGGGAAUUUUGGACAAUGGGCGCAAGCCUGAUCCAGCCAUGCCGCGUGCGGGAAGAAGGCCUUCGGGUUGUAAACCGCUUUUGUCAGGGAAGAAAAGGUUCUGGUUAAUACCUGGGACUCAUGACGGUACCUGAAGAAUAAGCACCGGCUAACUACGUGCCAGCAGCCGCGGUAAUACGUAGGGUGCAAGCGUUAAUCGGAAUUACUGGGCGUAAAGCGUGCGCAGGCGGUUAUGCAAGACAGAGGUGAAAUCCCCGGGCUCAACCUGGGAGCUGCCUUUGUGACUGCUGGCUAGAGUGCGGCAGAGGGGGAUGGAAUUCCGCGUGUAGCAGUGAAAUGCGUAGAUAUGCGGAGGAACACCGAUGGCGAAGGCAAUCCCCUGGGCCUGCACUGACGCUCAUGCACGAAAGCGUGGGGAGCAAACAGGAUUAGAUACCCUGGUAGUCCACGCCCUAAACGAUGUCAACUGGUUGUUGGGAGGGUUUCUUCUCAGUAACGUAGCUAACGCGUGAAGUUGACCGCCUGGGGAGUACGGCCGCAAGGUUGAAACUCAAAUGAAUUGACGGA